rnacentral:rRNA from 1 species
AGUGAACGCUGGCGGCGUGCCUAAUACAUGCAAGUCGAACGGAGAUUAAGUAGCUUGCUAUGUAAUCUUAGUGGCGCACGGGUGAGUAAUAUAUAGCUAACUUGCCCAUUACUAAGGGACAACAGUUGGAAACGACUGCUAAUACCUUAUACUCCGUAUCUAUAUAAGUAGAUACGGGAAAGUUUUUCGGUAAUGGAGAGGGCUAUAUCGUAUCAGCUAGUUGGUAAGGUAAUGGCUUACCAAGGCACUUACGCGUAACUGGACUGAGAGGAUGAUCAGUCAGAAUGGAACUGACACACGGACCAGAAUCGUAAGGGAGGCAGCAGGAGGGAAUAUUGCUCAACGGGGGAAACACUGAAGCAGCAACGCCGCGUGGAGAAUGACACUUUUCGGAGCGUAAACUCCUUUUCUUGGGAAAGAAUUAUGACGGUACCCAAGGAAUAAGCACCGGCUAACUCCGUG